ensembl:ncRNA cTel17.1 ncRNA
AACAGCGGAAAAGACACAUUCAACAAUUUAUGGGCACAGUUGGUGUUGUGUGUG